rnacentral:rRNA from 1 species
CAAUAGCGUAUAUUAAAGUUGUUGCGGUUAAAAAGCUCGUAGUCGAAUUUCUGUCAUAUACGACCGAUCUACCUCUUGGUGUGAUCAGGACUGUGUGUGACAUCUUUCAGUAGAGUAUACGUAUUCCACUGAGCUAUUACUUUGAGGAAAUUAGAGUGUUUCUAGCAGGCGAACGUCUUGAAUACUUUAGCAUGGAAUAACAUUAUAAAGCUUUGGUUUAUCUUGUUGGUUUCUAGAGCCAAGGCGAUGAUUAAUAGGGAUAGUCGGGGGCAUUCGUAUUUAACUGUCAGAGGUGAAAUUCUUGGAUUUGUUGAAGACGAACUAUUGCGAAAGCAUUUGCCAAGGAUGUUUUCAUUGA